GGGUUGUGAGGUUAAGCGACUAAGCGUACACGGUGGAUGCCCUGGCAGUCAGAGGCGAUGAAGGGCGUGCUAAUCUGCGAUAAGCGCCGGUAAGGUGAUAUGAACCGUUAUAACCGGCGAUACCCGAAUGGGGAAACCCAGUGUGAUUCGUCACACUAUCAUUAACUGAAUCCAUAGGUUAAUGAGGCGAACCGGGGGAACUGAAACAUCUAAGUACCCCGAGGAAAAGAAAUCAACCGAGAUUCCCCCAGUAGCGGCGAGCGAACGGGGAGGAGCCCAGAGCCUGAAUCAGCAUGUGUGUUAGUGGAAGCGUCUGGAAAGGCGCGCGAUACAGGGUGACAGCCCCGUACACAAAAGCGCAUGUGCUGUGAGCUCGAUGAGUAGGGCGGGACACGUGGUAUCCUGUCUGAAUAUGGGGGGACCAUCCUCCAAGGCUAAAUACUCCUGACUGACCGAUAGUGAACCAGUACCGUGAGGGAAAGGCGAAAAGAACCCCGGCGAGGGGAGUGAAAAAGAACCUGAAACCGUGUACGUACAAGCAGUGGGAGCACAGGUUUACCUGUGUGACUGCGUACCUUUUGUAUAAUGGGUCAGCGACUUAUAUUCUGUAGCAAGGUUAACCGUAUAGGGGAGCCGGAGGGAAACCGAGUCUUAACCGG
rnacentral:rRNA from 1 species